rnacentral:misc_RNA from 1 species
AUCUAUUUAACAUAAAUGGUUAUCUAGAUUUUGGACUUAGUAUACGAACCUUAUUUAUAUGAUAUUAUAAAAAAAAUUGUCUCGUCAAUAUGAACCUGACUAUGAAACCCCAGAAAAUACACAUUAUAUGUCACACUAUUACUAUAGAACUUGGCAAUUCUAUUAUGAAACAAGUCAAGUUUAAUAUUAAUGAAUUCAAAGUUUUCGCCUUCUCUUUUUCAUCAGUGUCCAUUGGUGUAUUUAUUAUUUCUCUCUUUCCUUUGUUUCCUGUUUUUGGCCUACCCUGACAAAUUUGAUAAAUUUGUCUAGUGCUGCUGAAGAAAUCAUUAAUGAAAGGAAGGAAUUCAAUGCCAAAAGUGAUAGAAAAAAAUAACAUAGUAUUGAUACAUAUUGAUCUACUUGAAUAAACUAAUAUGUUUCAGAAUGAAAUGGAACUAGUUUUGAAACUGAGACUUUUCUUAAUUUACUUAAAACAUCUGUAACACAAGAGGUAUUUAUUUUUAAACUAAUAGUGAACCAGCAAGAAUUAAUUAAUAUAUUAAUCAUUCAUAUUCCAUUCAUAAGUUUUUGCUCUCUUCUUUUUGUUUGGUGUGAAUGAUGUGCUACGUGUAGAUUUGAGUUAAAAAUGUUUGUUUCUUUCACCAGUAUUUAUAUAAAUACCUUGACGGUAAAGUAAGAAUAAGUGAAAGACAGUCUUUCGUGGUAUUUAUCGAUACCAAUUAUCAUGAUGCUUUCAUUCUGUAAUGAAUUUCAAUCAGUCAUAAAGAAGUUUCUAUCUGUAAUUCAUUUUUGUAUGAUUUAGCAAACGCAUGCACAACAUGGAUGUCAUAGAACUAUGAAUAAAUUGACGAACUAUUAUACUUGUUGUCAAUUGUGAUUUGUCUAGACUUCCCAAUUUUUAUAUGUACUGUUUCACAUGCAUUGAAAAAUACUAUUUUGUUAACUCAAGAAUAAAUUUUGUAUAUCG